rnacentral:misc_RNA from 1 species
GAACUGCGAUAAGUAAUGUGAAUUGCAGAAUUCAGUGAAUCAUCGAGUCUUUGAACGCACAUUGCGCCCCCUGGCAUUCCGGGGGGCAUGCCUGUCCGAGCGUCAUUGCUGCCCUUCAAGCCCGGCUUGUGUGUUGGGUCGUCGUCCCCUCCGGGGGACGGGCCCGAAAGGCAGCGGCGGCACCGCGUCCGGUCCUCGAGCGUAUGGGGCUUUGUCACCCGCUCGAUAAGGACCGGCCGGGCGCCAGCCGGCGUCUCCAACCUUUUUUUUCUCAGGUUGACCUCGGAUCAGGUAGGGAUACCCGCUGAACUUAAGC